rnacentral:lncRNA from 1 species
CACUCAUUUAUUACCUACAAACAAUUGGGAGCGUCAAUAUCGUUGUUCCUUGUUUUACAAAUUCAGCCAAGGCAAAAUCUUUGGACUAGUUUUCUGUGGUUGGGCAUAGUGAAUUUUUAUAUUUUUUUUGUAAGAUGCGCCUUUAAACUAUUUAGAUUAUAUGGGUUUAAUUUUGGAAGAGUAAGGUAGUAGUAAUAAAGUUUAAUUUUUAUAAACUAGAAAAAUAUGUAUACUUUCAAGUGAUUAGAAAGUCUCUUAUGCAUAAUAUUCAAAAUAUUGGUGUAAAAAUAAAUAAGACUACUGCGUAUAAUAAUUUGUAAUUUGAUGACGACAAAAAUAGCAUUUAAUAUUUUAG